AACGCGAAGAACCUUACCCGGGCUUGAACUACGGAUGGUAAGUCCCUAGAAACAGGGGCUGACCCGCAAGGGAGUCCGCAGAGGUGCUGCAUGGUUGUCGUCAGCUCGUGUCGUGAGAUGUUGGGUUAAGUCCCGCAACGAGCGCAACCCCUAUCCAAUGUUGCUAAUCCCGCAAGGGAUGCACUCUUUGGAAACUGCCUUCGAUAAGAAGGAGGAAGGUGGGGACGACGUCAAAUCCUCAUGGCCCUUAUGUCCGGGGCUACACACGUGUUACAAUGGCCGGUACAAUGGGAAGCAAUACCGUAAGGUGGAGCAAAACCAGGAAAGCCGGCCCCAGUUCAGAUUGUGGGCUGCAACUCGCCCACAUGAAGGCGGAAUCGCUAGUAAUCGCUGAUCAGCAGGCAGCGGUGAAUACGGUUCCCGGGCUUGUACACACCGAGACGUA
rnacentral:rRNA from 1 species